AUUGAACGCUGGCGGCAGGCCUAACACAUGCACGUCGGACGAGCGGCGGACGGGUUAGUAAUGUAUGGGGAACUGCCUGCUGGAGGGUGAUAACUACUGGAAACGUUAGCUAAUACCGCAUACCCUCAGAUGAACCCAUAUGGGAUUCUCUUUUAUGUGAGGUAACGGCUCACCUGGGCGACGAUCCCUAGCUGGUCUGAGAGGAUGAUCAGACACACUGGGAAUGAGAAACGGCCCAGACUCCUAAGGUAGGCAGCAGGGGGGAAUAGUGCACAAGGGGCGCAAGCCUGAUGCAGCCAUGCCGCGUGUAUGAAGAAGGCCUGCGGGUUGUAAAGUACUUUCAGUCGGGAGGCGUUACCGACAGAAGAAGCACCGGCUAACUCCGUGCCAGCAGCCGCGGUAAUUC
rnacentral:rRNA from 1 species